AAUGACGUCUGAAAAUCCACUCCAAAAAGCAUAGCAAAUGAUAUGCCAACAUUUGUUAUUAAAUCAUUUUGACAAGAGAGAAUAUCCUACGAAGUAUCCGGAAUCAGUUGAGAAGUCAACAUGCUCUUUGAAGAAAAUUGAAAGUUCACUUCAUGUUUAACACCUUCUGUUGAUGAUUCUCCAAAACCCAUUUCAAUCACUCUUCUUUAUCUCAAAUGCAUUCUACUCUUCAUCAAGUAUGGAAUCUGUGCUGCUGACAAAGUUAUGGAAGCAUGAAAAGAAGAAACCUUUUUAUUUAUUUAUUUACUUUUAUUGACCUUAUUCAUUCAUUUUGACUAUCAUUUCAUAUUUUAUCAUAUUAAAUUCUACUCUACCUUCCUGGGGUUCAUUCUCCGAGGAACACCGUUUAAAUUAUUCUGCUGAAAUUUAUUAAGACAAUUCUUAUUUAAUAUAGCUAUUUAUGCAAGUAUUUUAUGAUUAAGAAGCAUCAUGUCGAUGUACACGCAUUGUUUGGUGUUAGGUCUAAAUGGGUUUUCUAUUGGUUCAAAUUUGCAUUUAGGAGCAUCAUUUUUUAUGUUGAAUUAGGUGCAUUCUGCUAUGUUAAUUGGAAUGUUGGUAUGAUACUUUGAUGAAGCUACCCUUGUCAUAGAAAAAUUUAUCUCUUCAAAAUACUAAGAAAUGGGAGUUGAAACCAUUUAUUUUACUUUAUGUUGACAGAAUGAAGAAUAUGGCAUUAACAAAGAAUCAAUCGGUCACAUGCCAUGAAGAGAAAUGGUGGUUUAAGUUUCAUUAGCCAGUUAUCGAACUUAUUUCUUUUAGCACUAAGUUGGAUAAAAUUUUACCCAAUUGUUUGAUCCUCUGAUAAUGCAAUGCAUGAUUUACCUUACUCAUCAAGUCUGUCUUCUUUGAAUCACUACUUUAGCUCAGUCUCAAUGUUGAAUCUUCAACUAGGGAAUUUUCUCAUGAACUCAAUUAAGCUAAAAGAAUAUGAAGUACAGACUCAAUGAAAUGAAAUUGCCACAAAAAUGACCAAAGGGGGUACAUGCAUUACCUGUAACCAGAAUGCUGAAAUGGGGACAUCGUAGGUCUGUAGUUUGUCCCAAACAUCUCGUACAAGAUCUGUGCCGCCCUGCAUUCCAACCACGGCACCAGAUAUAAUCCACUCAGGAAGCUCUGGUGGUCUUCCGAUGACUUCGGUGAAUUGUUCAAUAAACUCCAAAGCUGCUACAACAGCUGUUCGCUUUAAAAGAUGCCCAGACCAACCAAGUCGACUCCUAAACCGGCUCAGCCUCCGCGAAAAGCCCUGUUGAGUUCCAUAAGUUCUUGGUGAAAUACUUUGUUGUGAUUCAAAAUUGGGUUUUCCAAGCUUCACUUCAAACCCAAUUUGAUUACUGGUAUUUUGAUCAAAGAAAACCCAAUACCUUGCAGAAACAAAAGCCAAUGCUGCAGAGACAAAGGCUUGUCCAGGGAUGGUAGACCAUAUGGGUCUGUUGGGCUGAGAUUGAUGAGAAAUUGAGAGAGACCCACCAUUCUUGGAUUGCCAAGUCAACUGAAAAUUCUUCCCAAUGCAAAAGAUUUGAUGUGAAGGGAGUGUUUGGGGAUUGAAAGAUAGAGUUCCUUGAAUACAAGGGAGAGAUUUUGGAUUUGAAGGGAAGGGGUUGUUGAGAUGUUUGUGGUGCUUUUUUGUGAUUUUGAGAGUUUCCAUUUUGG